rnacentral:rRNA from 1 species
GACGAACGCUGGCGGCGUGCUUAACACAUGCAAGUCGAACGGAAAGGCCCUGCUUUUGUGGGGUGCUCGAGUGGCGAACGGGUGAGUAACACGUGAGUAACCUGCCCUUGACUUUGGGAUAACUUCUGGAAACUGGGGCUAAUACCGGAUAGGAUCUCCUGCUGCAUGGUGGGGUUUGGAAAGUUUCGGCGGUUGGGGAUGGACUCGCGGCUUAUCAGCUUGUUGGUGGGGUAGUGGCUUACCAAGGCUUUGACGGGUAGCCGGCCUGAGAGGGUGACCGGCCACAUUGGGACUGAGAUACGGCGCAGACUACUACGGGAGGCAGGAGUGGGGAAUAUUGCACAAUGGGCGGAAGCCUGAUGCAGAAACGCCGCGUGCGGGAUGACGGCCUUCGGGUUGUAAACCGCUUUAGCAUGUGACGAAGCGUGAGUGACGGUAAUGGGUAAAGAAGCACCGGCUAACUACGUG